ensembl:lncRNA
UUCUGAACUACAAUCUUGCUUUCUCCCAUUGAGCAGCAGCAAAAUGUCUUUUAUCAUUUGAGGCAUUAAAUAACUCCAGGGAAAGAGAGCUCCAUGGAAAGAACACCACCCUGCCCUCCUACCAUUCACUACGUCUGCCUGAUAUCUGCAGUUUCAAGGAAAGCUGUUCAAGUUUGGAGAAUUUGUUUGUGCAGCAGUACUAUGUAUCUUCAUAAAGCCAGCAAUGUAGCUGCAACUCAAGGCUCAUUUUUCUUCCUUACUUUGAAAUAUCUAGUUAGAAAGGAAAUCACUCAGGAAGGAGUGCAACAAAGAGAUUAAUUAUAGCAAAGCACUUACAGUGCAAUGGCCUGGACAUUUGGGAUUGCAGAGAAUAAGUGGGCCACUGAAAUGCCAGCAAGUGUAUGAACAGUUCCACCAGGUGCAAGGAGAUUAGGCAGCCUUUAUCCACACUACCAAAGUAUCAGAACAUUUCUUUUAGAUCUACUAUGCAGGCACGAGAGCCAAAGAAUCUGAAUUAUGCUGUCCUCCAGACUCUUCUAUUAUGCUUUUUUCAGCAUUUUGCACAAAUGAGAUGGAUCAGAGUUCACACUUGUGACAAGCUCUGCUGAAACUGCAGAAACAAAGGUACUUGCUGGAAUCUAAUUCCCCAAAUAAUAAGUAGCAGUCCCUAUCUCUGAGGGCAUGUACCAUAACAGAUGCUAGCACAUCAUCAUGCAAGCAACUAGACACUGUCAGCAGCUGUUGAGAUAAUACAGUGUUUGAUUUUAUUUCUCUGAUAGCAAUUUGGUUGCCUGAAGUAGCUCAUUUUUGCCAAAGGUAGACCAUAGUGUUCAAAUGGGAGAAGCUGAUCAUUAAUGGUAAUUUGCUUUGAUCUUUAUGAGUGUGGAAUUAGAGUGGGAAGUGUGUGCACUUUAAUUGCCUUUUAGCAUCACCAAGGCAGACUAAUAUUGACUAAUAUUGAUUAAGUGGGAUGAAAUCCUCUUCUGGUUUUUUUUUCCUCCCAAGGAGAAAGCAAAUUGGUUCAUUCAUUAGAUAACACACAGAAAAGAGGCCUGUUCCCAGACCACCUACUGCUCUGACAUAGAUAGCUCCACCUCAUUUAAAAUUCUUGUUUAUUUUUGUCUCCUCUAGGUGAAGCUGCUUCCCAAAAGAAAAACACAGAUGUGUAGGUUUUUAGAACUCUUCUUGCAUUUAUAAAACAAGCAGGUGAUAUUGGGCUGUUCAUCACAACUGAUUGUUCAGUGCAAUUAUGUAGACUAUAUAAUGCCUUUCUCAUGGUAGAAGAAUGGCACAGGGUCAUUUGCAAUGUUUGCUCUGUGGACUCAGGGAAAAGAAGUUACUAGCUUGCUAAUUAUCAAAUGCUGCUUCAGGCUCAUUGGCUUGAAAUUAAGCAUUGUUAAAGUCAAUUUAAACAAACUUUCAAACUACACCGUUUUAUUUUUUUUGUUCCUAAGUGGCAAGCUCUUGAAAGCCUCCAAAGUCUUCAUCUUUAGUACUCUGAAAUUCAGCCCUCUUAAGCAAAAGAUCAUUCUGUGAGUAAGUCCAGUUUUUUUGAUCAUGUUGACUUAUUGAUGAUUGUGACAUGGGAGGCCAAAAGAGGUAGAAGAGAUCUAAUGAUUUCCAAAUAAUAUUUAUGCAGCUUCCUAACUCGUCAGUGAAUGGCUCAGCCAAAAACUGCCUGAUAUAUACAGCAGCAACAUGUAUACAUCAGCAUUUCCAAGAGAAGUACAGCAGUUCCACAAUGACUUUUCUGAUGCAGUCAUACUAACACUAUUAGGAGUAAUUCCAAGAUACUCUUUUUUUCUGUCCUUGAAUACAGUGGUUUGAUUCCAGGAUACCUUUUUCAAUGAAGGCUGCUCUGAAAGCAGUGCCUCCAGUUUUAUUCUGUCGACCCACGAUGUCAGAGGCGGAUGUUAGUGGGAUGGAAGUAGAGGUUGAACCCUCCCACCAGCAUUCCAUUACAUGUUGUUGCUGGUUGUUGCUGUGGGACAGAUGGCAGAAGAGGGGCACUCUGACAAAAUGGCAUCUGGUUUGGAAAUACGUAUGAAGCACAGGUGUGUCAUUGAAUUCCUCCAUGCAGAAAAAAAUGGCACCCAAUGACAUUCACUGAUGUAUGCUGAAUGCUUAUAGAGACCAAACAGUGGAUGUGAGCACAGUGAGAUGGCGGCAUGAAAGACAAGGUAUUUUUUGGAUGGCCAUUAAGAUUUUUAUGAGCAUGGCAUGCAGUCUCUUGUUCAUCAUUGGCAAAAUUCAUAGCUAAUGGUGAUGACUAUGUUGAAAUAUAGAAUUUUGUAGCUGAUAAUUUGUUCUAUCAAAUAGUGUUAUUGUACUUUUUGUAGAUGUUGUGUUUUCCAUGGAAAUAAAUAAAAGGCAUUACUUUUGGAGUGACUUAGGGACAUAAAAGUUAUUUAUUUCAUAAUUAAAUGUCCACUUAUUCUGGGAAGCCAAUGCCAUGCAACAUCUUUUCGUUGACAGUCCUAUCCAUUUCUAUUUUAGCAAGGAGAUUGCAGUUCAGGAGGGAAGGUUUCUAGAUCACCAUUUCAUUUUAUGCGGACUUUAUUUUUAUUCCUUACAACCCGAAAAAUUAUGCAAGUAGUUCUAUUUGAAAACUGUUAACAGAAAGUUGGGAGUUACAAGUCACUCUGAAAAUGUAAGGAUGUCUUUAGUGGGUGAAGUGCAAGGACCUUCAGGGUACAGAACAAUCACAAAAUUCAUGUUCCAAUGGAGCUUGCCACUGCUUUCUUAUUAAUUCCAGGAGGAUCAAGAUUGCGUGCCUUUUCAACAUUGAUAUUCAAUACUCAUGAUAACAUUUUCUGAGUACUGCCACUGUUCAAAGGAUGAAAAUUAGAUAGAAGUUUGUUUACUCCCGUUUAUGAGUACAGGUGGUCUUGUAGUAUUACUUUUUUCUUCUUCUUUUUCCUAGCAAAUGUGCCUUGGGAUAUACACUACGAGAAAGCAUGCAUUAGUAUCUGUUUAGAAUGCCACACUUGAGAGCUGUGAGAACACAGAACCAUUGGCAGAUUAUGUAAUGCUGUGGCAUUAUAGAAUCUUUCCAUUUUCACUUUUGGCCGUUCGUCAUCAUAAUGUCCAGAGCCUUCUUGGUGUUUUAUAUUUCCCUAGAAAGGCAUGCAAUUCUCAGUAAGAGUAAUGGAAGAGACAGUGAUCUGGCAAAAAGAAAAUGCAAAGACAAGGAAAACCCUCCAUAGGAAGAUUGUGUUAGAAAGUUGGGAAGAUUAGUUGUUAUCAUUAAAAUAAUCAUGCUUCCUCUACUUAUAAUAUGAGCAAAACCAAGCUAACUUGAAAGUGAAGUAUGAUGACAAAUAGAAAACGGGAUUUUCUGAACUGUUCCCUAUGGUCAGAGUGAGAAGUUUUGAUAAUUCUGAAUAAUUUCUAGUGGAUGCUAAAAUAAACAUAAAUGCAGUAGUAAAUGCACUGACUUGCCUUCCAACCAUAUUUACACCCAUAUUUUUGUAAGCGAUUACAGAUUUUGUGAAACAUUUUUUUUGUUCGUUUUGGAGAGUGAAUGUUUAAUGUCAGUCUGAUAUCAGCAGAAAAAAAAAUGAGUAUGAUAAGAUACAGCACCCAAAAUUCUCCCUUGUAUCUGAAAACCUUGAUCUGAACAAAUAGUUGCAGCUUAGCCUGUGCUCAGGUGGUUUUGUCUGGGGGUUUCUCCUACUAAAAAGUGUGUGAUAUC